CCUGAGUGAUAACCCAAUAAAACCCAAACCAUAUCUCAGCAGCAAACAAACCAAGCCAACCCCAUCUUCCUCCUCCUCCUACAAACUUCACUCUGUAACUCCAAAUCAAACAAAUCCCCACAAAAAUGGAAGCUGCAAAUACCCUAUAAACAACUCUCCCCUUCGGUGCUUUCGUCUCAAACAACGGAGAAUACCCUUCACUCCCCAUGGAAUGAGAAAUGAAGGAUUGAAGAUUGAUUGAGUGGUGUCCAAAGACUUGCAUCAACAAGAAGCUAAGGCCAUGGGCAUGUCCAGGCGAUGAAGAGGUGAGCCGCGGCAGGGGCAGAGCAGUGAGCAGAACAAGCCAUUACACAAGGAUGCCUCAGGUAUGAACAACAAAAAUGAUAAAAGGGAGAUGAUUGGAUUUGAUUCAGUCCAUUUCUUUAUACAAUUUCUUGUUGGUUUAACUUUUUUUCUAAAAGAAAAAAAAAAUGUUUGAUUUGUCUUAUUCAUACGUUGAUUUUUAUUCUCUGUUGUUCGUUUUUUUUAUUCUCUCAAAUAGAAAAAAUCUUGUGAUUC